AUGAAAGACAUGUUGUUCAAGAAGCAGAUCCUGGGUGUUGUUGUCGCUUAUGUAUACGUAGUUGAGUUCCAAAAAAGGGGCCUUCCCCACGCACAUUUUUUGUUGAUCAUGGAUUCAGCAUAUAAGCUUAUCGUCCCAGAGCAAUAUGACCGACUCAUAUCAGCAGAGCUCCCAGACAAGCAUAAGUAUCCCGAAUUGUAUGCAAUGGUGGUAAAGCAUAUGAUGCACGGACCAUGCGGCACCACAGGAACAUUUUCCUGA
rnacentral:rRNA from 1 species